CAGCGCCACGAGUGGCAAUCACGAUUAUUGGGUCUAAAGCGUCCGUAGCCGGUUCAGUAAAUCUUUUGUGAAAUCGUUGGGCUCAACCUAACGGCAUGCAGAAGACACUGCUGGACUUGAGACCGGAAGGAGUGCAGAGUAUGGUGUGGGGACCGGUAAAAUGGGAUAAUCCACGCUAGACUACCAAUGGCGAAGGCACUGCACCAGGACGGAUCUGACGGUGAGGGACGAAAGCUAGGGGAGCGAACCGGAUUAGAUACCCGAGUAGUCC
rnacentral:rRNA from 1 species